UGUGAUUGAUGGAAGUCAAAAAAAUGGUAUGAGAUAUGAAAGUAUGUUUAAUUACUGUUGAAAAUGAUAUGUUGAAAAACUAGUUUUUUAUAUAUAUAUUGUGUGUGUGUGUGUGUGUGUGUGUGUGUGUGUGUGUAUGCCACCAUACAGGGUGUUGCUGAAAAUUUAGCAAUCCAGAAUGUCACAG